GUAUCAUCAAUGUGAUGACUCCAUCAUCUGUUGUGGGAUUUGGUGAAGCUUUUCUACAUUACAACGGGAGUACUCGCACGCCUGGCACUAAGAUGGACUGUAAAUGCAGAGUAACGUCGGUAGCAUCAACUGUUACCAUCACCGUGUAUCAGCUGAUCUUACAUCCAGAUACCUGCUGCCAGUUUAAUAUAUCCUCAAGCGAUACCAGUAUUCCUAGUGAUUGUCAAGCACAAUCUGGCGUUGAAUCGUACGCAACAGCCAGUAGAGUCAGCUCGGUACCCAUUGACGUUCAUAUGAAUAAUUUACUGGCAAGAACAGAUGAUGUCGUUAUUAUAAGGUUCAACAGUGGUAAAGGAGUGAAUGUUGACUGUGAUGGCUGUACGGAAAUACAAGAUACAGAAAACGAUGUGUGUAUUUAUCCUGUAGUCGGAGCAUUGACUGGAGAUGAUGGAAGUGAUACAAUAGCUAUUGCUGCUGGUGUAGUUGGUGGACUUCUUCUGCUAGCUCUGCUGGUGAUAGUCAUCUGGAGAUGUAAACGGUCCAAGUCGAAGCAGACGUUACCAACAGACUUCUAAAUUUGGACACAGAAAGGUGAAACAUUGUCCAUAAAAAUCAUUUCUAUCUGAAAGUCGG